rnacentral:rRNA from 1 species
CGUGCCUAAUACAUGCAAGUCGAACGCAUUGUGGUUGAAAUGAUAUGAAGAACUUGUUCAGAUUUGAUUUUCAACAUUGCAAUGAGUGGCGAACGGGUGAGUAACACGUGGGAAACCUACCUCUUAGCAGGGGAUAACAUUUGGAAACAAAUGCUAAUACCGUAUAAUAAUUAAAACCGCAUGGUUUUAGUUUAAAAGAUGGUCUUGCUAUCACUAAGAGAUGGUCCCGCGGUGUAUUAGUUAGUUGGUGAGGUAAUGGCUCACCAAGACAAUGAUACAUAGCCGAGUUGAGAGACUGACCGGCCACAAUGGGACUGAGACACGGCCCAUACUCCUACGGGAGGCAGCAGUAGGGAAUCUUCCACAAUGGACGAAAGUCUGAUGGAGCAGCGCCGCGUGUGUGAUGAAGGGUUUCGGCUCGUAAAACACUGUUGUAAGAGAAGAAUGACAUUGAGAGUAACUGUUCAAUGUGUGACGGUAUCUUACCAGAAAGGAACGGCUAAAUACGUG